rnacentral:lncRNA from 1 species
GGAAGGAUGGGUGGAGAUUUAAAGCGCUCCUCUGCCUUACAGACAUAGGGCUCCUGGUGGUAUGGUCCUGGAGGUGAGCUCGACAACUCAGACAUGUCUGAACACUUCUGGGAGUCCACCAUCAAAGCAUCAAAGACUUCAAAGUCAGUUUUCUUCACCUGGAUGACGUUGUUGACAGUACCCAGCUGGCUGGUUACAACGGGCUCUGAAGGAUCGUGUGUCCACUGCCCAUCCACAAAGAACUUGUACUGGUGCUCUCCUUCUGGCAGGUCCAGGAUUGCCACAAAGUUGUUGUGACUCCUUGUCAAAGGAAUCUUGCUCCAGUUGUUGAAGGACCCAGAUAAAUACACUUCUUUCCCUCCUCCGGUCCAGCGAAAGACUGUUGGUCGAGCUUGAGUGGGGGUUUUAUCACUCACUUCCAGAUCCUGCUGCCAAGCUAGGAACUCUUCUUUAUCCAAUGGCGCCUUCAUCUCCUCCGGAUGGAAUAAGUCCGCAUCCUCGGGGCUGUCCAUUAAGAUCUUCGGUCUGUCCCCAUCCUUGGUGCUGCCGGCUCCUCCCGCACCGUCGCCCCGCGAUGCUUUGUGCCCGUGGCGCUCCAGCCCGGCUCGCUCGCUGCUCGUGUUCCCCAUUUUUAAGGGCCUCAGCGGCCACGCGUAACCCGCAGCGCUACGGAGCCCUUCGGGGCCGCCCGCCGCGAUGCCCGCCGCGCCCGGCAGCCGCGCAGCGCCGCCCGCACCUCCCGCCGCCGCCGCCGCUUCCGCUUCCGCUUCCGCGUUCCCCGCGCGGCCGCCCCGGCCAGCAGCCGGCCCCGCACUGCGGGUUCCCUCCCGGCGGCCGCGCGGGGUUCGGGGCUGCCUCUCUGCGGCCCAUUACCGCCGCCCCGUGCCUGUCCUAUCGAUGCUGAAGCGCCGUGACGGGCAGCGCGCGGCCGCUCCUGGGGCUGCUUUCCCCCGCUCGGGGUGCUGCGUUUACUCGGGGAUGAGAAAGCAGUGAGCACCGCGCCGGGCAGGAAACGCAUUCCGGGUGCGCUGAGAGCGGCGGUGCGGCCGCGGGGCGGUGUCGGCUGCGGCGCUGCUCGGGCCGAAGCGCGCGUGGAAGUCGGGAAGCUUUGAGCUGAGCGGCGGUCCCCCAAACGGAGUUCCACGCGGCGUUCCUCCGGCGCGCUGCCGGUCUCGCGUCUCUCUCGGUCCGCUGCUUCCCCCUUUCUGCGAUGAGCACAGAGCGGUGCAGGCUGCAGUUUGGGCCGUGCUCCCCAUGGCGAGAGAACCGCUUUUCAGGGUCGGACCCAACGGACGGAAGGGUUUUUUUUUUUCCUCUGUCGGAUCAAAGCGUAUCGUCGUGGCACGCUGUGACGGGGAGGAGGGAUUCUGCUGGCAUCGACACAUUCCCCGUGCCCAGCCCUGGGAGCGCGGCUGGCUGCUGCCGCCUGCCUGGAGGAGCAGCUGCUGCUCAUUUAUCUUCCGUGGGCACAACGCCCCGAGCAUGGGAGCACCCGUCACAGGGCAAGGGAGCCCUUCCCCAGCUCCCACGGAGCUCUUACGCUGCUAUAAAAUGCAGCUGUUGUUGUUUUGAUACUUAACGCAGGUUAGCAGUCUCCUAUGCUUUGCCUACAGACCCGAUGGUUUGGUUUCCCCUGGCACCAAUGCACACGCAGGGUAGGCUGGAGGUAUGCAGCGCCUUGCCUUGCCCAUUGGGGAGCCACUGUGACAGCCUGCAGAGCCACACGCACAGCAAGCAGCGGCAUCUCCGCUUCAGGGCUCAUCUUCUCUGCUUCACCAUGGUUUUGUUAUAUACAAAAAACACAGACUGAUAAUGCGCUGCAGAAUAAGGGCUGCUGACAGCCCCCAGGGCUGUUGGGUAAGGAAAGUCCAAGCUUCUCUCAAUGUAAAGCUUUGGUAUUAAGACAGAAUGGUUGCUCCGCAUGCAUGGUCACUCCAAAGCCUUUGGGAGCUCCUGGCCUUGGAUGGGACGGAGGCAGUGGACACAGAUGCACGGCCAUCACAUGCACUGCGCUAUCAUUAUCUCCCAUCAGCCUGAAGGAGAGCCCAGCUCGCUCACAGCUGUUCCUAAUGGAGAUGUGGGAAGUGAGAGCUCAGCUGCAGACAUGCCACGAUGACCUGGCAGAGCUCAUCCGCCCACUGAAUCUCCGGAGCACUGCACUUUUGCUCCUCCCUUUCAUAGGAGGCAAAUCUGUCGUGGUUUUUUUGCCUCCUUCCAUGCCCUGCAAUCUGAAGGGCAUACAAACUCCCCCCUGCCUCACCCAGGGCCUGUCUCCACAUUCCAAAGGAGGACUACAAACUCCCUUUCCUUCACAUACCUUUCUUAACCUUCCUGCUCUUACUGCCAGAUGAGGAUAUAACAGACGGGCAGUCGUUCAGCAUUCUUCCAUUCAGUCUUUCGUAUUUCCUUCACCACAAAUGGGGUUCCUGGUUAGUGAGAAUACCAGAGGAGUCACUUGCUGUUGGAAUCGUCUGUUGUUGACAGCUGACAAACUUCAGUUUUCCAAACUGCCGUGUUUAUGAGACAGGAGACAGCAACAGGCCACUUAGCCUCUAGUAAGCACUCCUUGCAUGGGUAAUACAUUACCCUUCUCAUUAGGUGUUCAGCUGUGUGCUCUGCCCUGCAACUCUGGGGGAUGCCCAUGACUUUAAAUGUUUUCACCGAGAAGAAUUAGACAAAAUAUUGAGCCAGAAAUCCCCAUCUUGCCUCUAAAAGCAUGACUUUCCAGAAGACUCCUAACCAUCAGCCGAAGGGAAACGCUGUGUUGUGUGACUGUUGCAAAACCUUUUAGUUAAAUAGAAAUGCAGCACUCAACGCUAUCAUGUUCUGGUAUGUUCAGGACCCAGCUAGGGUUAACUACUCACAUUUCCAUGGAAAGCAUCAUGGAAAUUGCAUGAUAAAUCACAACUACAUUUUAAAUGGAGGAGUCAAGUGAAUGCUGAGGAGUCAAGUGACAUCUGUACCACUGAGUCAGCCUACCCUCUAGGGCUACCACUUCCCAUCCUUCUUCAUCAGCUAACCCAAGGGUGGGAUGCUACAACCACCAGUGCUGUAGGUCAAAAAUCCCAUUUGACCUGUUUGGAUGAUCUCCUGGAGUUGGUUAAAAUCCAAAGUGGCUGAACUCUGAUUGAGCUGCAUGUAGAUGUGGCAGCCAUGGUUCAGCACCCCCCCCACAGCCUGCUCUGGUGUGCAUCCCUUAAUUUCACUGGAGCUUCCCCUUCUCUUGCCUGAAGUGUGUUGAAAAAUUAAGUGUAGUGGCCAAAUAUCUUGGACUGUGUGUUUUAAAAUCCUAAUGUAUCCAUUGGUGUCUGACAUGACACUAGCCAAAGAGAAGUAGCUGCAAGCUAAGUGGAAGCUGACUCAGCCCUGCAGAUAGAUAUGGUAGAAACAGAAGAGCCAUCCUCAGUCAUGAGCUAGCAGAUCAAAUUCAGACAUGACACAGAUCACAUUAUAAAGGAUAUAUGAGCAAGUGCUCCUUGUAGCUUCUGUGCCACAGAGACAAGUGAGUCAGCUGGAAGCAGCAGCAGAAUUUACCCUGGAGCUCAAGACAGGAAAAAAUAAACUUCAGAAACCUCCCCAUUAAAUUUCUAUAACCUUCCGUUCUACCUUGGGCUCCUGGGUUUGUUCCUUCAGCUUUAUGUUGCUUGAGUGAUCCCUCUCCUACCACCCUCCUCCAUUUAGGUCACUUCUGAAUAUAGCCCAUUUGGCCGGGCUGCAGAGGAAGUCAAGUUGGGCCGCCUCCUUCGAGUCUCACUCACAUUUCAAGGCAGGCGUGCCGCUGUGGUGCAUGCAGAACAUGCCGUUGUGUUUGGGAGGUGGAAAAUGGUGAGUGAGCAUAAAGAUGACUUGUAGACAGAGCACCGUAUCCCUGCUCAGCAUCUCUGCUCCAACACAGCACUGCACACCUUCAGUGACCUGCCUGUGUACUGCCUAUGGGUCUUGGAAGAGCUGCAGACACGCAGGUUGCCCUGCACACAGCAGGAUGUGGCUUACCAACUUAGUCCCAUACCAAUCAGGGACUUCCUUUCAUUUAAAUCUCAUUUGUUUCGGGGAAUCCAGUACUUCAGAUGCAUCCUCUUGUGCACAUGUGCACACACAGCGCAUACAAAAUAAAGGCUGACUCAGAAGGUGGCACAGUCUCUUCCCUACUGAUGCAAAUUGGGAACAAAAUCCAUCUUAAAUACUGGCAAAGCCAGUGUCCAGGUAAGGAAACAAGCCUAGAGGAAGAUGUGUGCCCACUGGCCCAGAAGAUCUAUCCAGGCUCAUUUUGAGAUGGGCUCUGUCUGCAGGCUGAGAGGUAAAGCACAGCUCAUUCUGUGCGCACGUACCCAUAGAUACAGGCACAAAAGCAACAGCUGCUGGACCCAUGAGCCACAAUGGACUGAGGAACCAGCACUGAUGUUCAAUGUGUGCUUGCUGGGAGGCACCCGAAGAAUUCCACAUUGUCCUCUCGAUCUUUCCUUUGCUGUGCAGUGUGAUGAAAUGCACACCCCAUGGUGUCUGAACGUCUGGCUGACCCCCUUCAGACAGCAGCAAAGAAACUCCUCGUAUAUUUAGAAGCCUUGCUCUAAGGUUACAUAUCAAGAUACAUGCACGCUGCUGUUUUGCAGAACGCAGCUGCCCUGGAAGAAGCAAAAGAUGCUAAUCUGAUCCAGGAGCUGAGGCCAGCAAUUUCAAGUUUCCAUCUGUCUCUGCCUGUAAUACAUGCAGGAAGGAAAAGAGAGUUGGACUCUGGGCAAUAAGCGGUGCCUGCAGCAUGCAGGAAGACUGCAGAAAAAAACUGGAAGCCUGGAGCAGCCGUGUGAAAGGAAGACUCUUCUCCUGAGAGGGGCACAGAUGUUGAGUUGAAAUACAUCUUACUGCUUUCUUUUUCCCCCUUCCAUUGCACAAAAUAGCAAAAAUCACAACAUGCUCAAGACAACUCUUUUUUUCUCCAUCAGCCUUGGCAGGUGCAAUGCAUAGUAAUAACGGGUCAAAUCCAAAUCCAGGCAGAUGGUGAUGAAGGACAGGUAAUCUCCCAUGCCUGUUGUAGAUACUGCAAUUUGUUUGCGUGGCUCUCAAAAGACAAAGAAGACAUUAAUUUCUCAGUCAGACAACAGCAUCUUGCACCCAAGGUCUUGAUGGCUUAUGUAGGCAGAUGUUAUUUCCUCCUCUUCAAACUGGAUUAAGAUGCUGAUUACCUCACUUUGUCUGGGUCCAUCAAACCUACAACAAAAUGACUUGGUCGGACAAGGAGUGCAUUCGUUUCCAGCACAAGAGGGGAGGAGAAGGAUUUGUGUUCAACUGCAUUUCUCAAGCACGGCUGGAAGCAUAUGCAAGCAUUAAUAAAUGAAGAGAAAUGAUAUCAAUAUAUCAGUAAAGCAAAAAUAAGAUUACCUAUGACACAGAAGCACUAAAGGACAUUAGAGGAAUUGCUGCAUUUUCCCAUAUCUGUCACAUUAAGUGGUUUAAUAUAAAGCUUUUAUUUUUAUACCAAUCAAUAGCGCUGUGAGGUAGCACCAUUUAUCUUCAGGAGCACCGAAGUUACAACGGCUCAAUUCCUAUUUAUCUUAUGAGUGAGAUUUCAGAGAUAUUUAUGAGCCUCCAGAUGCAAGUUAGAUUUCCACUAUGGUUUUCAAAAGCAUCUGAACAAAUCAGGUGCCUCACUCCUAUUGAUCUACAUUCUGCUUAGGCACUCUGAGAAACUACUUCAAGUUGUACAUCCUCUAAUGCUCGGAGAACUCUGAAACUCUUUCUCCCCUCCCAUUCCACGUGCUUUGGUUUCAGUGGCAGUGCUGGGAUGGAAUAUUUUGUGUACUAAGUGUUACUGCAGUGAUGCAGUGGUGUUCACUUUGAUGCGUGCAGUGCAAGGCAGUGAGUGCUGACUUGUGUCACCUGCUGUAGUGAGCUCACCUGGCUGCCUUUCCCAGCCGUGGUAGGAAAGCCCCAUUGAGAACACUGAUGGACCAUUCUGAAUAUGUCCCACCACUCUUUCUCUGGAUCCUGCCUUGAAAACGAAGCCAAGAGCCCAAACUGCUGAGAUUUUGAGUGUUAGCUCAUCUCAAACAACUUCUGCACAUUUUAGCUACAGUACAGAUUGGCUGAACAGCACAACGUAGGGAAGAAAUCCCAUGUUUGCUUCCACUGACUUAACCCUGAAAUCGCCCAAUAAGUUUGAGAAAGGGAAAUUACUGUUUGAAACAAAAAAAUAGGAAAUAAACUUCCCACAUACCAGGAUGGAGAUGAAGUAAAAGUAAUUUUAUUCCACUUCUCAAUGACAGUUGUAUCAUAUCUGAUAAUAAGGCAAGCUACUCAAAGUCCCACAAGACGUUAUCAGACCACUGAAACAGUAUUCAAAAAACAAGGAGAAGUUCACAGAACAGCCAUUUCUUGGGGUCAUCAAAACCAGCGGCCAGAUUCCGCCAUGUACAAACGACAUCAGUGUUAAGUGCUGAAGAAAUCAACUCAUUCCACUGAUAAGAGUGAAGUUUUGUAUUGGAGUAAUUAAGGACAGGCUGUGCACCACUGACUUCAAUGAAAAACAGAGGCUGGCAGAAAGAAAAGUGAAAAAAGCACAUUAAAAAUACAAUACCAAGGCACAGAAAAUACAUGCUACUUCCAGGCAUAUGCUUUAACAAGUACAGAUUUCUGGGAGAUCUUUUUUUUUUCUUUUUUUUUUUUUCUUUUUUUUUUACUUGAAUAAUAGGCAUACUCCUGCCAGGCAUGAUUCAUUGCUCACGUGCACCUGUAAAACUCCCAUGCAUUUCUGGGUAUUCAGUCCAGAUUUAUGUUACUGCAAGGAGAGUAAGUGUAAGUUGGCAUAGCUUGCUUGAAGAUGUAGCAACAAUCAAAACAAACGGAGCAACAGUCACCAAAGACGUCGUCAUCUGCGUCAAUGCUCGCAGCUUGCUCCUUCAAACACGUAAUAUUUGGGUGAUAAAAAGAAAUACAUUCUUUCAGUUUUCAGCUAAUUAAAACUAGUUGUCCCACUCUACAUUUUCAUAAGGUAUUGAGAAACUGCAGUAAUUUAGAGGGCAUCCAUUGUGCAGCCUAAGGCUGUACACUGAGGGGUAACUCAGAUCAGCAAGUCUAUGUACAUCAGUGAGUGUAGAAAAGUCUGUCCAUCUCCAUGCUGAUUUAUGGACUAUUCAUAGCAAGACAAGAGGGUGAAUUAAAAAUAAGACACGAACAAAGCAGAACACAAUGAAACGAUGUGACUUGCUAUAGGAACAAUAACAGAGGGAUGAGAAAGAACAUCUAUUUAAAAAGAGCUUUUGUGAGAUAAAAAAAGAAAAACUUCUUAUAUACAUGGAGUUUAAAGAGGAAAAUAUGAUCAGUGCAACUUUAGUGCAGGACUAGAGCUGAAUUAAGGGAGUUCAGCAAGGAAAGACAACAAAAUGAGAGGAAAUAAUUAAAAAUAUGGAUGCUACGGAACAAAAGUGUCUUCUAAUAAUUGAAAUCGGUCCCAGGUGGUGAAAAACCCAAUGCAAAGACCUAAAGGCUGGGGGUGACGGGAGAAAGCAGCCACUGAGUCAGAGUACACCCACAGCAUUACAAAAUCACAUCGCAGGAUAAACCACAAACCCGUUGUUCUGAUUCUGUUAUGCUGAGACUAUCGUACAGGAAUACAAAAACCCUUCAUGGCCUGAUCCAAAACCCACUGGAGGUGACAGGAGUUCCACUAGCUCCAGCAGGCUGUGCAUCAGAGCUUACACCUUGCACUAGAACAGUUGAGAUAGGUUGGCUUCAGCUUGGCUCAGCCAGGGAACAUCAUGGACCCAGCACACAUUCCAUGUAAAUGAGAAAGAAAAAGGAGUUGUUAGGGCAAGGCUAUCACAUUAGAGUAAAACAACAAAAACUCACUUCUUUAUACUGAGGUUCUGUAUAAAUAAAUAAUUUGGAAAACCUGGUCACGCCAUGCUGAUUUACUAACUGGGCUAUCAUUGCAUCCAUCAGCAACAUGCCUCUGCAGACUUGUAGGGUCAAAUCUAACAGUCUGGAAAGAUGGGUUUCCUUUUCUUCUUACUUUUCCUCUCCUGAGAUUUACAUGGUGGUGUAUUCCAAGUGCAGUCCUGAUCUUCAGAUAGCAUGCUGCAAGGACACAACAAUAUGUUUUUAAAGGGGAAAAAGACAGAGAGUUUGCCUCGUGAGCUUAAAUUAUUAAUUCUACAGAUGUAAUGGAUACAUUAUUUAGUAUCACUUGUUCUCUUAAAAAACAUCCCUCUAGAUUAGUGGUUCAAUACUGCUUUGAAUCAAAGCAGUGUUUUUAAUGGCACCAGGUAUCUGUCAGUCUGAACAGAAUUUUUAAACUGGGUUGCUCAAAUCAAUGCAUGUUGGGAUCUUCCAGUGGCAGGAAAUGGGCUCUUACUUUUCUGAAGUCUGUGCCCCGUGCUUUGCUAUCAGCAAAUCAGUCCCUGCGGUCAGACAAGUAGGCUUCAUUGAACCUUGCUUUGCUAUGGAAAGUCUACUAACGGGCUACAUGAAAGAAUGGGAGAAUGGCGGAACUGGGUGAGAGCAAACAGCCUGACCCACAGCAUCCUGCCCCCGACAGUGACACGCUGCAGAUGCCUAGAGGAAGUGUGUAAGAAAAGCCCAAAUCCUGGAGGAUAUUUCUCUCUUUAUUGCCUUCUAGCUCUGGCAAUCUGUAGCUUAGAAACUCU